GGGCGCGUAGUGGAGUGGUUACCACGUUGGUCUUCGAUCAACCAAAGUUCGUCGGUUCGAUCCCGGCCGUGCUCG
rnacentral:tRNA from 1 species